rnacentral:rRNA from 1 species
UACGUAGGGUGCAAGCGUUGUCCGGAAUCAUUGGGCGUAAAGCGCGCGUAGGCGGCCCGAUAAGUCCGCUGUGAAAGUCAACGGCUCAACUGUUGAAAGCCGGUGGAUACUGUCGGGCUAGAGUACGGAAGAGGCAAGUGGAAUUCCUGGUGUAGCGGUGAAAUGCGCAGAUAUCAGGAAGAACACCCGUGGCGAAGGCGGCUCUCUGGGACGGUACUGACGCUGAGACGCGAAAGCGUGGGGAGCGAACAGG